CCGCCUCCUCCCCUUCUGCCCUGCUCUCCACCGCGCUGCCGCCUCCUCCCUUAUGCUCCCCACCGCGCCGCCUCUUCCUCCCCUUCACUGUUCUCUCCAGCGGCGGCAAAGAUCUGGCGGCAAAGGGAGACGACGAGGGCGCUCGAUCCGAUCUGCUGAAGACAAGGAAGGAGAGGAGGGAGAAAGAGAGAGGAAAGAGGAGAGGGAGGUGUGGUGGCGGAUGAGAGAGGGUCACCGGAAGGAGCGUGACGACCUGCAGGCAAAGGGCGGCGGCGGCGCCGCUCGAUUUGAUCUGCGGGAGAGAGAAGAUGAGAGGGGGAGGGAGAGGGAGAGAGAGAAGGAAGGAGAGGAGAGGAGAGAGAAAGAGAGAGGAGAAAGGAGAGGAGGGGGGCGACGGCGGUCGGGAGAGGAUCACCGGAAGGAGUGCCGCCGGCUCAUCGUCUUUCAUACCUACCCAUGCAGCUGCCGGCUGCAGGGGUGUUGCAAGGAGUUAGAGGUCGUGCGCUGGCCGGAGCAGCAGGAGCAAGGAUAUGGCCGCCUCUCUUCUCUGCCACGGUUCCCUCCUCUUCCUUCAGCUCUCGAGAUGUCGACCUGCAGGUUAAGGCAAACCAUUGUUUGACAACAAAUAUGCGGAGGCGUUUUUAUGAAUGUGCAUUUCACCUGAAUCUGGAGAGCUAUUUUAUCUGUCGCGGACAUUUUUGGUGGAAUUCAAUGCUUUAGCAGCUUGGGAGCAAGUAGAAAUACCUGAUUUGAUGCUCAUGCUUCCAAUUUUUUCACAUUUCGCGAGAGCUAGGCGUACUUCUCGAUGACCUUGCCGUCUCCAACCCAUCCGUGGGAUUAUUAUGGAUUUUCUGAAGGUGGUGGUGGGGGUUGCACGGCAUGUUCCGUCUGGUUUCAGCCAUGGCUCCUUAGAGAGCUGGACAUGCUUGGUUGGAGUCGUCGUCGUCCUGGUUGGGGAGAUGAGCAUGCUUAUGCUUAUCUAACAUAUAAAGCCUCCUAGAUAGUUCCGAGGAAGCACUCAACCUAGACGUCGCCCCUAAAUCGCUGCUGCCACCGCUUGUAAAUUUUGUGCCCCGCCGAGGGCAUUUUAGUCUUUUCAGCGGGCCAAAAAGGCAGGCAGCGCGGGCAGGAGCGAGACCGCGCAGACUGCGUCUUCCCCACGAACCCUUUCCUGUUUGAAGAGGUGGCCUUUUGUGUGGUUCUCAACGGCUAUCCCAGGAAGGGGACAUUCCAAAGAUAUGAAGGGAUAGCCUUUCGUUAAAAACCUGGUCUUUUGUUUGAAAGGGUCUAACUUUUACUGUGAACUACUUAUCAUGAUCUUAUUUUGAAGUGAUGGAUUUUUACAGAUAUUAGGCAGUGCUUGACUUCGGUGGCGUCGCCUUCUGGCAGGUCACGGGGUUAGAGCACAGGAACCUGACACGGUGUUCCAAACUCAGGCGGUCAUGGUCGACCAGAUGUCGAAGGGCUUGGUAGCAACUCUCACGGAGAAAGAGAACAAGUUUUCAAGAGAUUCAGUGUAACUGGAAAUUGUCAGACUCACCGGAGGUAUUCAGGAUUACAAAUUUGGCAGAUGCUGUUGCUUGCAAACCCUAGGCCUGGUUCCUGGACUUGGUCGGCCUCCUCGAGGGAUGUAGCUGCGCUCCGGUGUCGACUCCUCGACCAAUGACGCUCCAUCCCAACCCCACCAAUCUUCACCGCUGCUUGACGACAUGGAGCUGAACACCGCUGCAACCAUGGUGGCGCCCCCUCUGACCAAGGGAUUGCGACGCCAGCAAAGCAAAGGAAGAUCCGCAACAAAACUCUGCAAGGUUAAUUCACUGAUCUGUACUUCAAACUUGAUUGUUGAAUUGUACUAAAUUCCAUACUCGGUCUUCCGGUGGCCUCCCUGGGAUGUGACAUCUAAAUAUGUAUUCUUGCCAUCGCAGCAAAAAAAUUGAGAUAUCUCAUAUAUUGGCAAAGCUAAUGCCUGAGAGGGAGCUACCAAACAAGCAUGCUUUAUAUUUGGGACGUGCAGGCUGGAAGGAUCAUUGGUAAUUGAUCCUAUCAAAGGAAGGUGCGAUCUCCAGCCUGAAGGAAUGGCUGGUUGAUUCAGCUAUAGGAAGCAAUCCUGUUCUGCAAUUGAUUGCUGGAAUCGUAUUUAUGCAAGAGCAAGACUACACACGAGGCUGUCAAGCACACACACACACACAACGGAAGAACUCUGGACAUGAAGAGGAUGCACUAAGUUAUAAAGUAAUAAAGUAAAACAUGGAUUUCACUUACUUGAGAGAAGAUCUGGCCAUCACAUUGACACUGCUACGUACCAGACUAAAGUUCAACAAAUGAUCAUUCAUCAUCUUCUGAUCAUGGUCUUUGCCGUUUAUGAUGCCAAUUUUGGAGAUACCGUUUGUUCAACUACAUACUAAUUACGCCGCGAUGGAAAACGUUAAGAUUCCAACAAAAGUUCUUCUGGAUGCUAUUAUGCAAUAGGUUGGCCUUCAAGCGCAGGUUACUCAACAGACAAGGCAAGCACCAUUGGUCUUGAGUCAAGUGUUCAGUUCUAUCCAUCUGAGUACCGGUUGAAUAAUGGAAAGUAUUGAUGACUACACUCGGAGCAAGCCUUGUCGCGACACUGCAAGUGUUGCCCCCCUCCUCCCAAAGGGCAAGGUGAAGGAAGGUGCCUGUGUGGUUCUUCUGCAGCUCGCAGCGAGGAUUGUUGUGUCCAACCUGCACAAGAAUGCCAAGAAGUCCUUCUCGAAGA